CGGGGUGCAGCAGGCGCGAAAACUUUACACUGUCGGCAACGGCGAUAAGGGAACCUCGAGUGCCAGGUUACAAAUCUGGCUGUCGUGAUGCCUAAAAAGCAUUGCAUAGCAAGGGCCGGGCAAGACCGGUGCCAGCCGCCGCGGUAACACCGGCGGCUCGAGUGGUAACCGUUAUUAUUGGGUCUAAAGGGUCUGUAGCCGGCCGGGUAAGUCUCUUGGGAAAUCUGGCAGCUUAACUGUCAGGCUUUCAGGAGAUACUGCCUGGCUCGAGGCCGGGAGAGGUGAGAGGUACUUCAGGGGUAGGGGUGAAAUCUUGUAAUCCUUGAAGGACCACCAGUGGCGAAGGCGUCUCACCAGAACGGACCUGACGGCAAGGGACGAAAGCUAGGGGCACGAACCGGAUUAGAUACCCGGGUAGUCCUAGCCGUAAACGAUACUCGCUAGGUGUCGGCCACGGUGCGACCGUGGUCGGUGCCGUAGGGAAGCCGUGAAGCGAGCCACCUGGGAAGUACGGCCGCAAGGCUGAAACUUAAAGGAAUUGGCGGGGGAGCAC
rnacentral:rRNA from 1 species